GGGGUUAUAGCUCAGCUGGGAGAGCGCCUGCCUUGCACGCAGGAGGUCUGCGGCUCGAUCCCACAUAACUCCACCA
rnacentral:tRNA from 1 species